UACAGAGACUGCAAGCGUUAUUCGGAUUCACUGGGCGUAAAGGGUGCGCAGGCGGUUGGGUGUGUCAGAUGUGAAAUCCCGAGGCUCAACCUCGGAACUGCGUCUAAAACUACUCGACUAGAGUACUGGAGAGGGUAACGGAAUUCACGGUGUAGCAGUGAAAUGCGUAGAUAUCGUGAGGAACACCAGAGGCGAAGGCGGUUACCUGGACAGUUACUGACGCUCAGGCACGAAAGCAUGGGGAGCAAAAGGG
rnacentral:rRNA from 1 species